GAUGAACGCUAGCUACAGGCUUAACACAUGCAAGUCGCGGGGCAGCAUGGGGGUUGCUUGCAAUCCCCGAUGGCGACCGGCGCACGGGUGAGUAACGCGUAUCCAACCUGCCCUUCACCACGGGAUAACCCGGCGAAAGUCGGACUAAUACCGUAUGUUGUCCAUUGACGGCAUCCGAUUUGGACGAAAGGUUUGGCGGUGAAGGAUGGGGAUGCGUCCGAUUAGCUGGACGGCGGGGUGACGGCCCACCGUGGCGACGAUCGGUAGGGGUUCUGAGAGGAAGGUCCCCCACACUGGAACUGAGACACGGUCCAGACUCCUACGGGAGGCAGCAGUGAGGAAUAUUCGUCAAUGGGCGUAAGCCUGAACCAGCCAAGUAGCGUGCAGGAUGACGGCCCUAUGGGUUGUAAACUGCUUUUAUGCGGGGAUAAAGUGGCCCACGUGUGGGUUUUUGCAGGUACCGCAUGAAUAAGGACCGGCUAAUUCCGUG
rnacentral:rRNA from 1 species